GGACUUAAAAUCCGUCGAUUUUUAAAAUCGUGAGGGUUCAAGUCCCUCUAUCCCCC
rnacentral:tRNA from 1 species